GACGAACGCUGGCGGCGUGCCUAAUACAUGCAAGUUGAGCGAUGAAGAUUGGUGCUUGCACCAAUUUGAAGAGCAGCGAACGGGUGAGUAACGCGUGGGGAAUCUGCCUUUGAGCGGGGGACAACAUUUGGAAACGAAUGCUAAUACCGCAUAACAACUUUAAACAUAAGUUUUAAGUUUGAAAGAUGCAAUUGCAUCACUCAAAGAUGAUCCCGCGUUGUAUUAGCUAGUUGGUGAGGUAAAGGCUCACCAAGGCGGUGAUACAUAGCCGACCUGAGAGGGUGAUCGGCCACAUUGGGACUGAGACACGGCCCAAACUCCUACGGGAGGCAGCAGUAGGGAAUCUUCGGCAAUGGACGAAAGUCUGACCGAGCAACGCCGCGUGAGUGAAGAAGGUUUUCGGAUCGUAAAACUCUGUUGGUAGAGAAGAACGUUGGUGAGAGUGGAAAGCUCAUCAAGUGACGGUAACUACCCAGAAAGGGACGGCUAACUACGUG
rnacentral:rRNA from 1 species